CAAGCUUUUCUGUGACCUACCCUAUGGGGGUAACAGACUGGGUAGAAACCUCAUUGGCUGGAAGCUGGGUGUUUGAUAAUCAUAAACCACAGGGUCAAGCAGCUGGGCUGUGAAGGUCAAGUCAACUUCGUGAUCCCCACAGAAUAAAGCUGGAAAGGAUUCAGGAUCUGAGAUGGCUCAGGGGUCAUUAUUCUCAUGGCAGAAAGCCUGCCUCUCAUCCCCUAGUCCCCUUCUGGGUGCAGCAACUCUCUCCCAGAACGCUCAUCCCUUUCUGAGGCCCACUCUGGCUCCUGGUUCCUGCUCCCUUCUAUAUUGAGCCCAGGGAUUCUGAUUCUCCUAUUCCUAAACUCACUUGUCAUAAACAAGAACACAUACCCACUGGCUCCAGAACAAGACUCUUCAUUGCUGGACUCCCCCUGCCCAGGAUGCACCUGUCCCAUAUUAAAUGGCUCCUGGUGGUCUUCACGGAUUUCCCCACCUCUUCCUCAGCCAUUGUGUGGAUACACCCGCCAUACUGAAUAAGUCUGCUCAGGCCGCAGCCAUCUAGAGAGACAUACUUCUGUGUGAAAAUGUCCCAUUGAAGAGAUGUCCCAUCUAUGCCCCGGCUCAUGGAUUCCUGCACAGGGUGAAGCUGGCAUUUGUCAAUAGCAUUUAGCUAUGGGAAGGUCUAAACUAGGAGACCCCUUUCUCCCUUUUAUGGUGUUAGAAGAACAAACAGAAGCUGAUUCUCCAAAUACAAGUCAAAUUCAGUGGGGACGCAUAGAGCAUUGGAACGGUGUGUGUGUGUUACAGCACACAGUGUCCCCUUUCCAAUGGCUGGUGGAAAUAAAGGAGGAGAGUUACAUAACAUUCUUACAUAACCUUUCCUGGCAACAAAGAUGGACUUUGAGAGGGAUCAAGGAUCAGCAUCCAGAGCAGCUCCACUCCCACAGUGAACUGGGCACAGCAGUACAAGAUUAUGGUGAUCUUUGGGCAAGAUGUGUUGGGUCUCUGGUCGGUGGAGGAGAGAACAUUCACAGUGAUGUGGGAUGAGUGUGGGCUUUAGUGCCUCUCCUGCCUCGGUCCUUUCAGACUGGCCCUUGGUCUCAGUUCCUAGAGUGGAAGCCUCCAGAUAAACUCCAUCCAGGAUCGGGACAGAAUCCAUCUGGAAGAAGCUGGCUGGAUAGGCUUCCUUUCCUUCUGGGAGCUGAUAAAUUCUUUCUGGCCUGAUUUCUAAUGAUCUAGAGUUGAAGUCAGGUGUGCAUUGGGGAGAACAGAGGCCCUAAACAACCACCCUUGGGGAGUUUGGAGUAUUCAAGCAUAGCAAAGAGAGUGCAAGGUCCUGCUUUCUUACUGCUGGGAGCAGAGUCCACUCACCCACCCCCCCAUCCCCCCACCCCCGCUGAGUGGGGAAGUUCACAGUUCAUAGUUGCAGGUUGUGAAGGACCCACAUAACUCUAGCCAGAUUCCACAUGUCUAGUGAAGUUGCUGGUUUGUCUGUGCCUAAUUUCUGGGUUCAUUUGUUUUGUUGAAUCUUCAAGAGCUAUGAGACUAAAAGGCUGAACUUA